rnacentral:SRP_RNA from 1 species
GCUGGGUGUGGUAGCAUGUGCCUGUAGUCCCAGCUACUCGGAAGGCUGAGGCUGGAGGAUAGCUUGAGUCCAGGAGUUCUGGGCCGUCGUGCACUAUGCUGAUCAGGUGUCCGCACUAAGUUUGGCAUCAAUAUGGUGACCUUCCGGGAGCAGGGGACCACCAGGUUGCCUAAGGAGGGGUGAACCAGCCCAGGCUGGAAACGGAGCAGGUCAAAACUCCUGUGCUGAUCAGUAGUGGGAUUGCGCCUGUGAAGAGCCACUGCACUCCAGCCUGGGCAACAUAGCGAGACCCUGUUUCU